rnacentral:rRNA from 1 species
AGGGGGUUUGAUCCAUGGGGGCUCAGAUUGAACGCUGGCGGCAUGCCUAACACAUGCAAGUCGAACGGUAACAGGUCGCUGUGAUCCCUUCGGGGUGAACUUGAUGCUGACGAGUGGCGGACGGGUGAGUAAUGCUUGGGAAUCUGCCCAGUAGUGGGGGACAACACGAGGAAACUCGUGCUAAUACCGCAUACGUCCUACGGGAGAAAGUGGGGGAUCUUCGGACCUCACGCUAUUGGAUGAGCCCAAGUCGGAUUAGUUUGUUGGUGAGGUAAAGGCUCACCAAGGCGACGAUCCGGUAGCUGGUCUGAGAGGACGAUCAGCCACACUGGGACUGAGACACGGCCCAGACUCCUACGGGGAGGCCAGCAGUGGGGGAAUAUUGGACAAUGGGGGCAACCCUUGAUCCGUCAAUGCCG